rnacentral:rRNA from 1 species
UUAAAUUGAAGAGUUUGAUCAUGGCUCAGAUUGAACGCUGGCGGCAGGCCUAACACAUGCAAGUCGAACGGUAACAGGAAACAGCUUGCUGUUUCGCUGACGAGUGGCGGACGGGUGAGUAAUGUCUGGGAAACUGCCUGAUGGAGGGGGAUAACUACUGGAAACGGUAGCUAAUACCGCAUAACGUCGCAAGACCAAAGAGGGGGACCUUCGGGCCUCUUGCCAUCGGAUGUGCCCAGAUGGGAUUAGCUAGUAGGUGGGGUAACGGCUCACCUAGGCGACGAUCCCUAGCUGGUCUGAGAGGAUGACCAGCCACACUGGAACUGAGACACGGUCCAGACUCCUACGGGAGGCAGCAGUGGGGAAUAUUGCACAAUGGGCGCAAGCCUGAUGCAGCCAUGCCGCGUGUAUGAAGAAGGCCUUCGGGUUGUAAAGUACUUUCAGCGGGGAGGAAGGGAGUAAAGUUAAUACCUUUGCUCAUUGACGUUACCCGCAGAAGAAGCACCGGCU